rnacentral:lncRNA from 1 species
AAGUUUGAGAGAUACUUUAGAAUGAUUUAGACGCAGGAGUUUUACAUGGAAAAUUAAGUUCUCCAUGCUUCCCACCCGCACCCCCCCCCCCGUGAUGUGCAGCUGCUUAGUGGGUUAACCUGAUGUGUCAAAUCAACCUUCCCGUGUGUCCAGAUACCAAAAUAUGAUUUAUUUUCACCAGAUUUGCAGGAAAAAAAAGUGAUUCACGAACAGAUUCAAACGAUGUUCCAAUACCAUUACUGGCUUGUUCCUCUGCGUUCCUAAUGUGAUUGCCAUGUUUUUAAUCGAAAUAAUACACAAAAAUUGGAGUUUUUAAAGUAGGGAUCAGAGAGGACUCUCUGGUGGAUACCAGGGAAUUCCCGCUGUGGGGCACGGGUCAAGAAUCUGACCGCAGCAGCUUAGGUCGCUGUGGAGGCAUGGGUUCGAUCCCUGGCCUGGGAAUUUCCAUAUGCCAAGGGUGCAGCCAUUAAAAAAAAGUAAAAUUAAAGAAAAGGAGUUUCAAGUGUGAAGGAAGCCUCAAAACGUAAAUAUUAAAAUUUAAUUGUAAGUCAUCAAAUGAGAAGAGUAAAAGGAAGGAGUGGUUCCUCCGCCGACCCCCCCAAGCCCCAACUAUAGACUUGUUCUGAGAACCGUGGGAUUUAGAGCUGGAAGCGACUUUAGAGGUCGCUUGGCCUGCUCUUAUGAGUUUGCCUUUAUUUUACUCAGUAUUCUUCCACAGUUCAUGUCUGUGCCCAGAAUUGAACAUGUCACCUGGAGUCGUGUCUGCAUAGCUUCUCUGGCAGGAGGACUAAUCCUAAUUAAAUGUGCUCACUUGGCAGAGAUGAUUAUGUAUUUUUUAGGUUCCUUGUUAAUUUUAUUCUCAGAAGCUCCGUUUUACGGAUGGAGACCCCUGUGGCACUCCAUAGCGAGGCACCAGAACUCUUUCUUGGCAUUGUGACGUGUUUUUGGACACUUCGUGGUAAUCCCAGAAUUGAAAACUCCCCAGGACAGCUGGUACCUGCUAAUAGUUCUCAGGCAUUUCGAUUUUAUCUGCUUAACUAUGUAUUUCAUUUCAUUUUAUUUUACUUUAUUGGCCACGCCUGUGGCAUAUGGAAGUUCUGGGGCCAGGGGUCAAACCUGUGCCACAGCAGUGGCAAAGGUGGAUCCUUAACCUGCUGAACCACCAGGGAACUCCCUCAUAGGUGUAUUUUAAGUACUCCCAUAUUAUCUUCUAACAGUAGUGAAUUAAGUCUUUUAUGCACUUAGAUUUGCUGUAAUGUUAGUUAAUCCCCCAAAAUGGUUGGUGUGGCCUUUUCUGCUUGGUUUUGGGUUUUGGCUUUUUACUAAGAGAAAUUGCUUCUUUUGAAGAGGUAAUUAAUUUUGAAAUUUGGUCUUCUGGGUGUCCAUGGAAACGAUUCCCUGAUUGCCAUGCUGAAGGUGGAAGUAUUCUCUUAAGGUUAAGAGUUGGUGGCCCUGUCAGCAAAAGGAAAUGGAUCUGAACUACACAUGAGAAAUAAGAACCAGUGCUCUGGAUGUUAGAUACUCACAGCCGAUGGAAAAGUAACGCAAACCAUUACUUCCCAGCAAGCAAGGAGCGAGUCUCGUGCUGACUCUUUGGGGUGUGGAUGGCGAAGGGAGGUCUGCGGGGUGCAAGAGCUCGUGUGUCCUGUGGGAGAGCCGGUGGGGCUGCCCCAGUGCCGUGCGCCGGUCGAGAUGAUGUGCCUAGAGCAUCCGCUGGGUAGGCCGGCUGCAGGGACACCUGUUGAGGUGGGGAUGGCGGGUUGGGGUGCAGGGAAGGAAGCAUCCAGGCAGGGAUUUGAGCAGCUGCUGGCUGCCCAGAGCUCAGCCUCCGUGAAUCAGAGGCACAGGGAGCUCAUCCGUGGGCUUGGAGGCCGGCAGGGAGGAAGCAAGGGAGCCCGCUUUCAGUCAGGACCCUGAUGCCCCCAGAGUCCUGGAAAGGCAGGCCAGAAGUUGGUGGGGCAGUUACGAGCAUCUCAGUCCAUAGCGUCCGUGGUUUGGGGGAACGCUUUUCCCCCUUCGGGUAAUCCUGAUCUCGCAUUUGAAGUAAGUGCCCUGGGUCUGCUUUAAAAGGCAACUAAAAGGCUUUUACGGGACAUGGCUUAUUUAUAAAGGGGGUCAUCGAGAAUUUAGUCAAUUGAUUUAAGGUUGUUGGAGGAGUGAAGCGUUACGUGAUGCUGGUCCUAUCCAGGAUUUCACAAUUUCAAGGAAAAGUGGACAAUGCCUGCUUGUCUCCCAGGGAUUGGGGCAGUCCCACGGUCUGCACACCAGCCCCCGGAGCAGCCGGGCUCCGGCCGUCUCUAUCCCUUGGCGAGAGUGAGUCUCGGCAUGCGUGGGAUGUGCUGGCCUGGGAGUCAUUUAGCGAGAACUGGUUUGGGUCAUAGCCUCAGGUCUGCAUCGAAGCUGCACAUCAUGGGGCUGGGACAUUUGCAUGGCCUGGCGGAGUAGCUUGGGUGCACGUCGGAGGAGGCGGCAGGAGUCGAGUGCGAGGGGAGCAGCUUUGCCCACAAGCACGCUGCAGUCCUGCACCUAGACGGUGGCCGUGACUGUGGGGGGUGGCCCGGAGGAGAGAGCUGCCCUGCGAUGCUCGCACAUAAACCCGGGACACGUGGACAGUCUAUAGGAAGGAGUCUGCAGCCACAAACCUCUUUGGGUGUCUGUGAUGGAAGGGGACUUUUGGCUCUGUGAAGCGUCAUGUUUAUAAACGCCCGCCCGGUGCUUCAUUUACAGCUCGAUUCUCUCAUUAUGAGUGUGAUGAUGGCAGAAAUAAACCGAGCGAGUUGGCCUGCAGAAAUCACAUGAGCUCGCUUUUCUGUGGCUUUCAUUUUCUAAAUGUGGAUGUUCCUAUUCUGUCUCUUGCAGAUGUACACACAGCAAGGCUGGUGUGCAGAUAAUUGCGAGCGAGCGAGCGUCAUACCGUCCUCUUGCUGAGUGACCGGGAAUUUUCAGGGGCCUUUAAGGGAGAGCGCCAGCAGGAUAGCAGACCCCCUGUUACCCGACUGCGUGUCCUUCCUCUUCUCUCUGGUGUCCUGAGAGAAGGGCCCCGGUGUUAGCUCCUCAGUGGAAAGGUCACGCGUGACCCGCACGGGGGCUCCGUGGAGACUGCAUUUUCCUCCCCACUGUCUUCAAGGCAGUGUGAUUGUUUU